AAAUACGACUCCAAGCAAAAAUACCUGUGGCAAAGGCUAUGGUAUUGCGCCUUGAUGAAUGAAUUUCAUCAACAGGGUAGGGCUGGAAACGGCUCUGCCUUCCGUAUUUGAGAAGGAGAGAAUGCAA
rnacentral:ncRNA from 1 species